UACAGAGGUCUCAAGCGUUGUUCGGAUUCAUUGGGCGUAAAGGGUGCGUAGGCGGCGCGGUAAGUCGGGUGUGAAAUCUCGGGGCUUAACUCCGAAACUGCAUUCGAUGCUGCCGUGCUUGAGGACUGGAGAGGAGACUGGAAUUUACGGUGUAGCGGUGAAAUGCGUAGAUAUCGUAAGGAAGACCAGUGGCGAAGGCGGGUCUCUGGACAGUUCCUGACACUGAGACACGAAGGCCAGGGGAGCAAACGGG
rnacentral:rRNA from 1 species